UGUUUUUAAAUGUCAACUUGCCAUAGAAAGUCAAAGAAUGAUUGGAUAUCUUCCAUCAUUACUCGAUCGUCAACUUGGCAUGAAAGCAGCUGCGGUCCAGACGCCAGCCGGAAGGACGGGGAAAUAAUUUUGGAUAGCAUGUAGCCACCGAUCACCUACUUUGAUCACUAAAAUGAUUUCUCCGGACACGUUCAUGUCAUGUCGUGUUGGAAACGUAAACGACGACUAUGUCAGGAAGAUGUAGAAUUGCAAUGGAUAUACACGGGAAUACGUUACCAGAAGGAUAGACUUAGACAGAUCAACCUGCAUCGUUCUCUUAUCCGAUCAAUGAUGAAAUGGGAAAUCUGUGGGUUAGCAAUCAACAAAUAAAUAAUAAUAAUAAUAAUAAUAAUAUUAUUAUUAUUAUUAUUAUUAUUAUUUAAGUCUCUGGCAGUUACUCGCAUAACAAAUUUUGCUCCUACUUUUAGGGUUUUUGUGGUCUGUAAAACCCCCGCUGCCGGCCUUUUCCCGUCUCUUCCUCUCGCCGUGGCCGCUGUCGCCGCUAGGUCCGUCCUCUGGUCGGCGUCGCUCCAGGGUGGGGCGCCGCCCAAGCCGUUGCGGCCUCGCGCCUGCCCUCCGCUUCUCUGCCUCCCUAAACCGAGGCCCGCUCCCGCCGCUCGUUUCCUCAGGUCUCCCGUGGAGGCGAGCUUCUGCGUGGAGUCGCUCAUGCCGAUGCGACGGCCUCGGCUCUGAUGACCUCGAUCCUCAAUGUUUCGCUCGGGGGAUACGGGUGGCUGUCCCAAGGUAUCGUCCUCCGCUUCUUGCUUCUUUGAGCAUUUUAUUGAGUGGAUCGUGUGCGGCUGUUUAAAUCGAUUCUAUUUCUUGCCCUUGAGUUGGUUGCUAUGGUGGCUUACUGUAUGUCCAAUUAAAUCAUGUUACGUAGUUUCAGAUUCUCCUAGACAUCAAUCAUUUUAUGUAUGCCAAUGGUCAGAUGAGGGUUGGAUGGUUAUUGAGUUCUUGACUCAUCAAUCAUUUUAGACAGCAUAUUAUAGGAAGACAAGAGACAUAUAAAUAUUAGCUACAGUGUCAGAGGAAUCUGAUGCUGUGUUCUUGGAAGCCUCGAGUGAACCAAGAAGAGGCAAUGGACAGAUAUCAACAAUUUUCCUUCAAGUGCCCAUUUAGACAUGCAGAGAUGUGGACGAUUGCUACUAGGUUAGGGCAAGAAGUAAUGCAUCUCCAUUUGUUUAUUAUUGCGCAAUCCUUUAUUCUAAUCGUCUCCCUCUUUACCUCCUGCCGAACAUAAUUCCUGGAAUUAUGCCCUGCUCUGUGACUUGCACAAAAUGCAAAUUACUCCAAAGCUCUGCGUAAGGCCUGCUGCAUUUUUCUAUUCUACCUUGUUCUCUCUGUCACUGAACAGCACAUUCACUUGUGUACCUUCUGCUUUAACCUAUAAGCCUUCAACUUGUAAUCCUCAUUUUUCUUCCAAUGUAUAAAGCAUAAACUAAUCCUAAUGAAGGAAAGAGAGACUAUAUAUUGGAAUUUGUCUUGUUUUAUGUUUGUUGAAUCGAUGUGCUUCUCGAAGUGGCAGUGGAAGUAGCUUAACUAAUUGUGGUGAAUGUACUAGGAGUAGCUUAAGUAAUUGUGUAAUUAGUUGUUGGAGGCCCUCUGUUUUUAUGAAGUUGCUCUUGGCAUUUUUUUUUUAUCUACAUGCGUGAAAAUAGUAUGGUUAUUUGUGUGGGAUUAGGUUUAGAACAUUAAAAAUUUCAUUACAGUGAAGUCCUUUCCCUUUUGAGGCCCAUCCUGUAGUUUGUUUUAGGUCAGACAGUUUGCGUUGGAAACAACUCUAGUUGUCACCAACAGUAAGCUACCCUAAUGUGUCGAUAGAAAUCAUUCUUGGUUGUCCUAUAAGUUCGUACUUGUUUUAAACACAAUUGUUUUUACAUAUGCUGUUCUUCUUUUUUUAUUUUUGAUGCAAGAACACAUCUUUUUUCUCUUUUGCCUUUUUAUAUCACAUUGUAUGUGAUAUAAAUUCUUUAUAAACCUUCAAAAUUGUUUAUUGUUUAUGCACAAAUAUUUCAGGACCUUUUUGUGUUUCACCAGUUCUUGCUCUCUUUUCCUUGACACAAUUAGUGGAACCAAGAAACCUUCUCCCCUAAAUACAAUUUAUUACUAUUUAUUUACCACUGGCUGGUCUUGACUUGACUAGCUUUUUGUAAAAGAUCGAGAUGCUAUCAAAAUCAGAGGAAAAAAUGACAUUAUUGAAACUGGAAGCCUAGGCCAAAAAACAUGUUUGCUGUUCAUAUUUCGGUAGAAUUUCCCAUCUUAAUUUUUUUUCUUAUUCAAUACGUUGCCAAAUGAAGAGAUGUACUGAUAUAUUGUCUUUAAGUCGGCUGGCAAUGAGGAUGUAUGAUGAUGGUAUAUCAGGUGGAUUCAGCCAGAUGCAUAGACAAAGACACUUGAUAUAUUAUCCUCGUUCAUGCUCCCUUGAUUUGUUGAAGCUUUAUGGGGCCUUUUUCUAGGAUCGGCUGGGUGCACAUAGGAAAGGGGAAAUGUCAUGACAUGUUCUGCUAAUAUUAUAAAUUUGCUUGUGUCACUCUGGUUUGUUAGCUGAUAUAUAUGUUUCAAUAAUUUUAAGUUUGCAAAAGGUUUUAUUAUUUCUCCUCUCAUAUGUCGGAAAAUGGAUUUGCCAAGCCAAUGUGAAGACGUGGUUUGCUUGACUUUUUCAACUUCAUUUGAUAUACCAUAGAUUUCAUGAUGUGUUUAUGUCAACGUUUGAAUUACACGUGUAUGUGUUAACGUGAAGACUUGGUUUGCUCAAACUUUUUCUUAA